CCCAACUAUCCCUAUUAAUCAUUACGUCGAUCCUAGAAACCAACAAAAUAGAAUCAAACGUCCUAUUUCAUUAUUCCAUGCUAAUGUAUUCAAGCGCGAGCCUGCUUUAAACACUCUAAUUUUUUCAAAGUAACAGUCCUGAUUCCCCAUGACACCAAAUUAAUGACAUCAUGGUUCUUCAGAAGGGAGAAAUCAAAAUUGCCAGUACGUACCGAGGCACGACCAACAAAUUGAUCUCGAAAUUCAACUACGAGCUUUUUAACUGCAACAACUUUAAUAUACGCUAUUGGAGCUGGAAUUACCGCGGCUGCUGGCACCAGACUUGCCCUCCAA
rnacentral:misc_RNA from 1 species